rnacentral:tRNA from 1 species
UCCUCCUUAGCUCAGUUGGCAGAGCACCUGACUGUUAAUCAGGUUGUCGCUGGUUCGAGCCCAGCAGGGGGAGCCA